UUGGCGGCGUGGAUUAGGCAUGCGAGUCGCGCGAGAAUGUAGCAAUACAGGAAAGCGGCGAAAGGGAGAGGACAACAUAGGAAUCUGCCCUGGGGUCGAGGAUGGCGUCGGGAAACUGACGGUAAUACUCGAUGAUAUCUUUGGAUCAAAGGAGCAAUCUGCCCCGGGAUGAGCCUAUGCCCCAUUAGCUAGUUGGCGGUGUAAUGGACCACCAAGGCUGUGAUGGGUAGCUGGUGUGAGAGCACGACCAGCCUCACUGGCACUGAGACACUGGCCAGACACCUACGGGUGGCUGCAGUCGAGAAUCUUCGGCAAUGGACGAAAGUCUGACCGAGCGACGCCGCGUGUGGGAUGAAGGUCUUCGGAUUGUAAACCACUGUCGAGGGGGAUUAAGGGCAACUUGAAAGAACCCUGGAGGAAGGGGAGGCUAAGCUCGUGCCAGCAGCCGCGGUAAGACGAGCUCCCCAAACGUUAUUCGGUAUCACUGGGCUUAAAAGAGUUCGUAGGCGGCGAAGUAGGUGAGGUGUGAAAGCCCUCGGCUCAACCGAGGAACUGCGCUUCAAACCGCUUUGCUAGAGGGAGAUAGGGGUAAGCGGAACAGAUGGUGGAGCGGUGAAAUGUGUUGAUAUCAUCUGGAACACCGGUGGCGAAAGCGGCUUACUGGGUCUUUUCUGACGCUGAGGAACGAAAGCUAGGGUAG
rnacentral:rRNA from 1 species